GGUUUCUCUGUGUAGCCUUGGCUGUCCUGGAACUGACUCUUUAGACCAGGCUGGCCUUGAACUCAGAGAUCCACCUGACUCUGCCUCCCAAGUGCUGGGAUUAAAGGUGUGCACUUCCACUGCCC
rnacentral:miRNA from 1 species